rnacentral:rRNA from 1 species
UACAGAGGGGGCAAGCGUUGUUCGGAAUUACUGGGCGUAAAGAGCGCGCAGGCGGCUUGGCAAGUCGGGUGUGAAAUCCCGGGGCUCAACCCCGUGACUGCAUCCGAUACUGUCAGGCUAGAGGUAGGUAGGGGAGAUCGGAAUUCCUGGUGUAGCGGUGAAAUGCGCAGAUAUCAGGAGGAACACCGGUGGCGAAGGCGGUUAUCUGGACAGAAACUGACGCUGAGGCGCGAAAGCUAGGGGAGCAAACAGG